rnacentral:rRNA from 1 species
GCGAACGCUGGCGGCAGGCUUAACCCAUGCAAGUCGAGCGGGCCCUUCGGGGUCAGCGGCGGACGGGUGAGUAACGCGUGGGAACGUGCCUUCUGGUCUGGAAUAACCCUGGGAAACUAGGGCUAAUACCGGAUACGCCCUUUUGGGGAAAGGUUUACUGCCGGAAGAUCGGCCCGCGUCUGAUUAGCUAGUUGGUGGGGUAACGGCCUACCAAGGCGACGAUCAGUAGCUGGUCUGAGAGGAUGAUCAGCCACACUGGGACUGAGACACGGCCCAGACUCCUACGGGAGGCAGCAGUGGGGAAUAUUGGACAAUGGGCGCAAGCCUGAUCCAGCCAUGCCGCGUGAGUGAUGAAGGCCUUAGGGUUGUAAAGCUCUUUUAUCCGGGACGAUAAUGACGGUACCGGAGGAAUAAGCCCCGGCUAACUUCGUG